ensembl:lncRNA
GGGAUAGACAGUUUUAUUGACCACCAGUUAUAUCUAUGAUUUUAGAAAUGAAUUGAACAAACUUGUCAUAUCCAUUAAAAUAAUUUAAUGGUGCCGAAAGCCACUUCCUAUUCCAAGUAUUCAAGACUAGAAGGAGCAUUCUGAUUAGAAUACUGCAGACCAGUGAAUGAUGAAUAGGAGGCCCAACCUGAAUGGGUCUGGAGGACCAAGGUCCAUCGGUGUUCCGCUACUCUGUCCUUCUAACAGAGUGCUGCUGGAGAGAGAAGAGGUCAGCCAGGCCCCAGUGAUGGCCUCCUCUUUCAGGCCCUCAGCGUUCCCCUCCCUGCAUGUUGUACCUCAUGCUCCCCCUCCUGACGACGUCAGGCCCAAGAGGCCCACAGCUGCCCACAGAAAGAGGAGAGACCUCCAGUCCCUGGUUCCUGUCCAGGAUGGAUGUCGUGAGUCUCCCGGUUGGUUUAACAGCAGCAGCUCCCAGCUACCUGCCAAAACCAACAGACGCAGGCGCAACAAGGAGCUUUCCUUCACUGAGGUUCUGAAGAACUACAAGCUUCUGCCUGAUUCCCGGCCCAGCAGCCCAGAGAGCCUGUACCAGCCUGAGUCAAUGAUACCUAGAAUCUCUGUCAGCAUCACUAGACCUGAGGGGAGGCCUAGCAACCCUCAACGCCCCACUAGACGGCCUGUUAGCCCCGUAGGCCUGGUCCAACCUGAUGUACAGCCUUCCAGACCUGAGGGGAGGCCUAGCAACCCUCGGCAACCCAGACGGCCUGUUAGACCAGUGGGCCUGGUCCAGCCUGAUGUACAGCCUUCCAGACCUGAGGGGAGGCCUAGCAACCCUCUGGGCCCCACUAGACGGCCUGUUAGACCAGUGGGCCUAGUCCAACCUGAUGUACAGCCAUCCAGACCUGAGGGGAGGCCUAGCAACCCUCUGGGCCCCACUAGACAUGGCCUGUUAGACCAGUCAGCCUGGUCCAGCCUGAUGUUCAGCCUUCCAGACCUGAGGGAAGGCCUAGCAACCCUCGGAGCACCACUAGGAGAAAAGUUAAGCCCAGUAAUCCUGUGUGUUCCAUUAUGCUCGAGUCCCAACCUACCAGUCCUGUGAGCAUCACUACCAGCACUGUGGAUGUAGUCCAGCCUGAGUCCCGUCCUACCUGCCCUCUGACCCUGGAGGAGCCGGCCCUUUCAGAGUCAUGCAGCUUCAGCAACAAUGUGUUUGUUCUCUCCAUGCCGAAAGCUGCCCAGCCAGAGGAGGCUGCCAGAGGGAGCAGCAGCCCACCCAGGGACAUCAUCAGGCCUGAGGCCUUCGUCCAGACAGGACCCCUGCUGGCCAGGAGAGCCCAGAGGGAUGCUCCUACUCCAAAGGUCCCCAAACCCCCGGUGGCCCCCCGGCCCAAACUGCUGCCCUCCCUGGGCCAGGGCAACGUGUCCCUGGUCAGUGCCAACGCCUGGGAUGAAAGGACCAAGAAGAAGAGAAAGAAAGGAGUCAGAGUUCAGAGGUCUAGCCUGGGUCUGAGGCAUAUCCCCCGUGACCUAGAGCUGGCCAUGAUGAGACCCCGUCUGGUCAAGUCGGCCGUUCCCUCCCAGCAGCCCUACCAGCCGUGGGACGACGAGGACGAGGUGGACAUCUACGCCCUGAGGCGAACAGCCUACAUGUGUCCCAUGUACGACCAGGAGGAGAGCAGCGUCAGGGGCAACAAGAGGGUGGCAGUGGAGGCCCUGGACAACAUUCCUUUCAGAAGGAAGAUCACCUUGUGUUAUUUCAUGGGGGGUCGCAGGGUCAUGCUGCCAAAAGACUACUAACCUCACCCCCCUCAAUUUCCACAACAACCUCCCUUUGUCCCAGACAGCGAAGAACAGGAGACACACAGAGAGACACCAACAGGGCCAUCAGAGGGACUGAGACCCUCUCAGUUGAGGUUAGGAAUGUCAGCUACUAAAAGGCUUCUAUAGACCAUCUCUGUAGCAAGAGAACCUCCAGUGAUCAGACUGAGAUGUCCUCUGUCUCCCCUCCCCUCACCACUCCUCCCCCAAGAUGACCCCUUCACCCUGCCUCCCCUCACCACUCCUCCCCCAAGAGGACCCCUUCACCCUGCCUCCCCUCACCUCUUCUCCCCCUCGAGGACUACAGUCUCUUAUCUCUAAACCAGUGUUGGGGUCAGUUCAAUGUCAAUACAGUCAAUUCAGGAAGUAAACUGACAUUUUCUCAGAGUGGUAUUGAGGAAAAUUGGAAUUGGACUUUCAGUUUACUUCCUGAAAUGUAAAGGAAUUGACCCCAACCCUGAUCUAAAUAAACUACUAGAUCUCUAUGAUGACAGAGUCUCAGACAGAAAGACAAUAAUCCUGUUACUGUCCAGGACCUUGUCUUUACAUUUCCCU